GCUCUAGUAGCUUAAUCACAAAGCACCGGUCUUGUAAUCCGAAGAUUGAGGACUAAGUCCCCUCCUAGUGCC
rnacentral:tRNA from 1 species